AUCCUUGUCAAGCAAAGCACUGUGUUCAAAGCCAAAGAGUAAUUUCUUUCUUCUCCUUUUUCGCUGAACUCCUUUGGGUAGAGUUAUGUUGGCGUCUGAAUUAUUUCUUAAUGCAGUAACUUGUUGCAAGAGAGCAUGACUAUUAUUCCACUCUGAGGUAUGCAAAAGUUGACUUGUAGCCAGGACUUUGUGCAUUCUCCCCUAGUUUGGAUGGUUGCUUCUUGGCUCUUCCUGCCAGCAUGACUAAAGGAGCUGUAUUAGUGCACAAUGUCAUGGAGCUUCAGCUGCAUUGUGAGAUAGAUGCUCACCGGUCUCCUUUGGCUGCAAUUGCUUUAUCUACCAAUGGGAAGUACAUUGCAACAGCAUCUGAACAGGGAACCAUAAUCAGAGUUCAUCUGGUUUUAGAAGCAACUAAGAUAUUUUUGCAGCCGCUAAGCUCUUCAGGUUCUGUUCAUAUCUUCUCUGGGGUUUGAGACAAAUCAGAGGAGCAAAAAGUCGGCUAGUUUUCUUGGAUCAAUACUACCCGAUUCUGUGAAUGGUGCACUAGACCCAGCUCACCGUCAUGUGCUUCAGAAUGCUGUUUCUGCGGGAGUCAGAAACUAUGCGGUGGUACGCAAGGUGGACAAAAGUGGCUGAUUCAUUCUCAUCCGAGAUCGCAUUGUGUAGGUCAGUCCUUGGAUGUGUCUCUACUUCAAAAUUGUAUCAUGUACUCAUUUCCUUUU